AGUCUAAGGCACUGCAUUUCAGUGCUUGAGGCGUUACUACACAUUUGUCCCAGCAUCGUCUGGGUUUGGCCGGUGUAGGCCGUCAUUGUAAAUAAGAAUGUGUUCUUAACUGACUUGCCUAUUUUAGUUCAGCUCAUUCUGUUUGUGCCUUUGUGAGGUGUUGUUCAUUUUGACUCGACUCAGCCUUUUCCUAGCUUGUUUGUGAGAAGCAGCUUUCAGUCCUAGUUUUGAUUCACCUGCCUAUUUCCCUACCUGUGUUUGACCAUUGCCUGCCUGGGACCACGAUUCCUGCCUUCUGUGACGGCAAGUCAAUGACGGCCUAGGAACGAGGCAGAACGACUGAUUUUUACCUUGUCAGCUCGGGGGAUCCAAUCUUGCAACCUUACAGUUAACUCGUCCAACGCUCUAACCACCUGCCUCACGAGGAGCCUGCCUGUUACGCGAAUGCAGUAAACCAGGAUGGCAGAGAACAGCAGAGCACCAGUGUGGGACUAUUACAUGGAAUUGGCACCAGGGAAAGCAAGGUGUCUUAUUUGUGAUAAAGAUGUAAGCAUGUGGUCAGCAACGGCUAAAUCAAAAAAUACCUCCAACCUGUGGAAUCACCUUAAGAACACCCAUCCAAAAGCCCAUAUGUAUUAUAUUAAGUUAAAAUAAAAGUGUUCAUUGUU